UCAUAUGCUUGUCUCAAAGAUUAAGCCAUGCAUGUCUAAGUACGUGCCUAAGAAAGGUGAAACCGCGAAUGGCUCAUUAAAUCAGUUAUGGUUCCUUAGAUCGUACCUUACUACUUGGAUAACUGUGGUAAUUCUAGAGCUAAUACAUGCAGCAGAGCUCCGACCUUCGGGGACGAGCGCUUUUAUUAGACCAAGACCAAUCGGACCUCGGUCCGAAGCUCAUGGUGACUCUGGAUAACUUUGGGCUGAUCGCACGGUCUCGUACCGGCGACGCAUCUUUCAAGUGUCUGCCUUAUCAACUUUCGAUGGUAGGUUAUGCGCCUACCAUGGUCGUAACGGGUAACGGGGAAUCAGGGUUCGAUUCCGGAGAGGGAGCCUGAGAAACGGCUACCACAUCCAAGGAAGGCAGCAGGCGCGCAAAUUACCCACUCCCGGCACGGGGAGGUAGUGACGAAAAAUAACAAUACGGGACUCUAUUGAGGCCCCGUAAUUGGAAUGAGUACACUCUAAAUCCUUUAACGAGGAUCUAUUGGAGGGCAAGUCUGGUGCCAGCAGCCGCGGUAAUUCCAGCUCCAAUAGCGUAUAUUAAAGUUGUUGCGGUUAAAAAGCUCGUAGUUGGAUCUCAGUUCCAGACGGGUGGUCCACCCCUGGUGGUUACUGCCUGGCCUGAACAAAUACAGCCGGUUUUCCUUGAUGCUCUUCACCGAGUGUCUUGGGUGACCGGCACGUUUACUUUGAAAAAAUUAGAGUGCUCAAAGCAGGCGUGACGCCUGAAUAAUGGUGCAUGGAAUAAUGGAAUAGGACCUCGGUUCUAUUUUGUUGGUUUUCGGAACACGAGGUAAUGAUUAAGAGGGACAGACGGGGGCAUUCGUAUUGCGACGCUAGAGGUGAAAUUCUUGGACCGUCGCAAGACGAACUACU
rnacentral:rRNA from 1 species